rnacentral:rRNA from 1 species
AUUGAACGCUGGCGGCAGGCCUAACACAUGCAAGUCGAACGAGCGGCGGACGGGUGAGUAAUGUCUGGGAAACUGCCCGAUGGUGGGGGAUAACUACCGGAAACGGUCGCUAAUACCGCAUCCCAUCGGAUGAGCCCAGAUGGGAUUAGCUAGUUGGUGGGGUAACGGCUCACCAAGGCGACGAACCGUACCUGGUCUGAGAGGAUGACCAGCCACACUGGAACUGAGACACGGUCCAGCCUCCUACGGUAGGCAGCAGUGGGGAAGAUUGCACAAUGGGCGAAAGCCGGAUUCAGCCAUGCCGCGUGUAUGAAGAAGGCCUUCGGAUGUUAAAGUACUUUAAGCUAGUAGGCGUUACUCGCAGAAUAAGCACCGGCUAACUCCGUGCCAGCAGCCGCGGUAAUAC